rnacentral:rRNA from 1 species
UACGUAGGGGCUAGCGUUAUCCGGAAUUACUGGGCGUAAAGGGUGCGUAGGUGGUUUCUUAAGUCAGAGGUGAAAGGCUACGGCUCAACCGUAGUAAGCCUUUGAAACUGGGAAACUUGAGUGCAGGAGAGGAGAGUGGAAUUCCAUGUGUAGCGGUGAAAUACGUAGAUAUAUGGAGGAACACCAGUGGCGAAGGCGACUCUCUGGUCUGUAACUGACGCUGAGGCUCGAAAGCGUGGGGAGCGAACAGGAUUAGAUACCCCUGUAGUCCCUGA